CUGAAAUAUUAAAAAUUCAAAAAAAUCAAAGUUAAUGACAUAGGCUUGAAUAAGCGUCAAAACAACAUGUAAUUCCUAUCAUAUCAUAUGAUUUGAUUUAAAUCAUUAAUAAAUGAUAGGAGAUACAGAAAGAGACAUUUGUAAGAAAGGGAUAAAAAAUGAGACAAAACAGAUGUAUGCAACCGUUAACCAUAAAAGACGAGCAUAGGGACCGGG
rnacentral:lncRNA from 1 species